UACGUAGGGGGCAAGCGUUGUCCGGAAUCAUUGGCGUAAAGAGCGUGUAGGCGGUCCGGUAGUCGGCUGUGAAAGUCCAGGGCUCAACCCUGGGAUGCCGGUCGAUACUGCCGGACUAGAGUUCGGAAGAGGCGAGUGGGAAUUCCCGGUGUAGCGGUGAAAUGACGCAGAGUAUCGGGAGGAACACCUAUGGCGAAGGCAGCUCGCUGGGACGUUACUGACGCUGAGACGCGAAAGCGUGGGGAGCAAACAGG
rnacentral:rRNA from 1 species